rnacentral:ribozyme from 1 species
UGCCCAGCAACUCCUAUCCCUACCUCCUCGUGGUACUGGCCGGGGUACGAGUCUUGGGGAAGAUCGGGUAACCAACCCCCGGUGGGAACUUUGGUCGUAUGCUGACAGGGAAGG